UGUAUAAUUGAUCCUAAUUGGGAGGGAAAAUGAAGACGCCCAUUCAAGCUUUAUUUACGUUCUUGUGGCUGCAGCUGGAAAGGGUCAGCCAAGGAGAGAAUGUGGACCAGCAUCCUCCUUCCUUGAGCGUCCAGGAGGAAAAGAGUUGUGUUAUCAACUGUACUUAUUCAGACAGUUACUCAACCUACUUCUCUUGGUAUAAGCAAGAACCUGGAAAAGGUCCCCAGCUCAUUAUAGACAUUCUUUCAAAUGUGGACAAAAAAGAAAACCCAAGACUCACUGUUUUAUUGAAUAAGACGGCCAAAUAUCUUUCCCUGCACAUCGCGGCCACCCAACCUGGAGACUCAGCUGUCUACUUCUGUGCAGUGGGCACACAUUGCUUCCCAGGCACCUGCAGUCUGUACUCAAACCUGCGACCGGGGCAGCCCCCUUUUUGUUGACAUAGACCUUCAAUUAGAGCAUUUGUCAUUUCAUUUGUGUGCAAGUGGAAACUAAUGUAUUAGACAUUAGUAGCAUAUAAUAUGAAGGUUAGGUUAGGUUCAAGAUGACCCAGGAAGGGUUAGAACAUUUUGUUGGAUGACUGUUGCUUAAUGGAUUCUUGAAGGGAGUUAGUGAUGUUUUAUUUUGAAAUUCAGACCUUGAAGAUGACUUUUUAUUUGCUAUUCAAACCCUUCUCAUAUAAAUAAAUCCUUAGUAGCAAUAUCACAUUCCUAUUAUGGACGAACUUUUAACUCUUUCUUUUGAAAUUUGCAUAUGUUAUUUUUUGCUGAUUGUAAAACAUUACAUGCUAGAUAUAGAAAAUAUAUAAAAUAUAAGAGUGUGAAAUUGGUGAUUUGCAUGCAGGUAAUUAAUUGUAAUAUUUGCUGUGCUCUCUUCACAAAUUCUAGUGUAAUUAAGAUUCUGAUUUUUCCCACUUAAUAUCAUAUCUUGAAUUGAGCAGUCCCAAUUUCAUUGCCUUCUCCUGUCAUACCUGCUUUUUAAUAGCUUUGUGAAAGAUUUUCACAAGUCGCAAUUAUAUUUUUAUUUUCUUCCUCUCUAUAUUUUUGUGGCAAAAUUUGUGCUUUGACCAUUUUCUAGUUGAGCAAAUAUGAUGUGGGUUUUCUUUUAGAGCCCAGUGGUAUACAUGUUAUUUGUGUGAUUGAGGGAAAUUAAAAUAAGAAAUAAUUUAUUCAAGAAUGUGAGUUUAGGAUUAGACUCACAAACCUAUUCUUCUUUCCCAAAAUUUUGUUAACAUAUGUUCACAUUAACUCUCACACAGUUGAGAAGGGAGAGUUGUGUCUUUUAGUCAUGGUUACAUAGCACACGCUUGCUAAUAGGCUAUAUACUCAAAAUUUCAAUUUAAAUUUUAAUUUAAGCUUUGUGAUUCAAUUAAAUUUGUAAGUUGGCUUGUGAAGAACAGACUCCUGAAAGUGUAUAUUUGGUUACUGAAGAACAUACUAUUUCUUUCCAAUUAUCUAUGUCUUUCUCCAUAAAUCUCCAUUGAUUUAUGAUAAUUAAAUUUAUUGCUUAAUGUUUAAUUUUUAUUGUUACCUUUAUGAGUGAAGUCUUGACCUCUGAGAUACAGGGGAAAAUUUUUAAUAUACAUUUAUCAUUCACCUUACUCAACUCUUAACUGCAGAAGGCAUUUGAAUUAAUGUUUAUUUUAGAGACAAUUUUUUACAAAUUUUGCUGCCUCAUUUUCAUGUUUUCACUGAUUUAAACAUUACUUUCACAAGUUUAUUUAAAAAAUUAAUUCUUUCAGUGUUGUAGAUAAAUCAAGGGAAGGAAAAAAUUUGCAUAAAAAUUAAUUCCCUCAUUGUCCCACUCGUGGUCAAGGGUAGGCUAUUUUCAAGAUCCCUCAUAGUUUUCCUCAGGAUGGAUACAAUUGGCAAUUGGUAUGGUGAAGUGAUACCUCUUGGCUCAGUUAUGAUAGUUAUUUACCAGGUUUGUUCUUAUAGGGAAAGUCAUUAGGUUAAAUUAGAUUUUAAACAUCUGAAGAAGAAAGGUCAGUAUUGUAGCCCAACCCCUCCACCGGCUUUAGUUAUUUUCUUCACUAAAACCAGUAGCUCCUGUUCGGUAGAAGCAAGCUGAGUCUUGAUUGGUCUAUUUCCUCAGAGAUGAUAAUGGAGUGAGAGGGAAGCAUGGCUUAUAUUUUUAUCGGUUUAUUCUUCUUACAUCCAAGUUAGAAGAGAGAGGGUGCAAUUACUGUUGGCUUAACUGUUUUAUCAGACUUGGAAGAAAAAAAAUUCUCUAGCCAGAGUGUGCAGAGUCGGUUCAUAGUUAUCUCAACCUAGACACAUUCAAGCUUUCAACCUUCACCACAGUUUGUGUAUUUGUUUCCUGUGCCUCUGACAGUUUACCACGAGCUUGGUGGCUUAAAACAGCAGAAGUUUUUUCUCUCCUGGUUCUGGAGGCCGGAAGUUGAAAUCAUUUUCACUGGGCUGACAUCGGGGUGUCAGCAGGGCCGCAGCUGCUCCAGAGGCUCUAGGGGAGAAUCUGUUCCUUGCCUCUUCCAGCUCCGGUGGGUGCCGGCCUUGCUUGGCUUGUGGCUGCAUCAUUCCAAUCUUCAUCUUCACGGUCUCAUUGGCUUCUCUUCUACUAACAAAUCUCUCUCUGCUUCCCUCUUAAAAGAACUCAUGUGAUUGCAUUUAGGUCCAUAUAAUCCUGGAUUAUCUCCCCAUCUCAAGAUCUUAACCACAUCUUCAAAGUUUUUUUCCAUGUAACAUUCACAGAUUCUAGGGAUUAGCACCUCAUUUUUUUUAGGCAUUAUUUUACCUUUCACAGUUUGUAUGGCUGGUGCUUUUCUUUUCCACAUUGAGAAAAUAUGUGUAUUAGGAAGAAUCUAGUCAUGAAAACAGAAACUACAUCAAUUACUUUGUUUUAUUUUCCUACUGUUCAAAAUUUCUAUUUAAAAAAAGUUAUACAGGAAAAUAGACUAAAUUUGUGUACACUUAUAUCUGUGAAUUUUGAAUUUUAAUAUAUAGUAUAUAUUCAUGUAACCAUCAUAGAAUCAUGAUGGUAAAGAGUUUCAUUGCUCCCCAAAACUCGCUUGUGUUAUCAUUUUGUAAUUAUAUCCACUCUCAUCCCUAACUCCAUGAAUCCUGGAUUUGUUCUAUUUUUAUCUUUUUAAGGAUGUCACGUGAAUGGAACCACACAAUAAAAGAACCUUUUGAGAA